rnacentral:rRNA from 1 species
GAUGAACGCUGGCGGCGUGCCUAAUACAUGCAAGUCGAGCGAACGGACGAGAAGCUUGCUUCUCUGAUGUUAGCGGCGGACGGGUGAGUAACACGUGGAUAACCUACCUAUAAGACUGGGAUAACUUCGGGAAACCGGAGCUAAUCCCGGAUAAUAUUUUGAACCGCAUGGUUCAAAAGUGAAAGACGGUCUUGCUGUCACUUAUAGAUGGAUCCGCGCUGCAUUAGCUAGUUGGUAAGGUAACGGCUUACCAAGGCAACGAUGCAUAGCCGACCUGAGAGGGUGAUCGGCCACACUGGAACUGAGACACGGUCCAGACUCCUACGGGAGGCAGCAGUAGGGAAUCUUCCGCAAUGGGCGAAAGCCUGACGGAGCAACGCCGCGUGAGUGAUGAAGGUCUUCGGAUCGUAAAACUCUGUUAUUAGGGAAGAACAUAUGUGUAAGUAACUGUGCACAUCUUGACGGUACCUAAUCAGAAAGCCACGGCUAACUACGUG